GGGUAUAGCUCAAUGGUAGAGCACUGCACUUAGCAUGCACAGGGUCUUGGGUUCAAUCCCCAGUACCUCCA
rnacentral:tRNA from 1 species